GGAUAACCGGAUUUGCGGUUCCGGUUAUCGGACCGGGUCAAAUCCGGUCCGGAACCCGUAUAUUAGAAAACCGGAUGAAUCCAGAUCGGGUACCGGAUUAUAAACCCGGAACCCGGAUUUAAAACCCGGUACCCGGGUUUAUAAAAUGAAAAGUUACCGGUGCGUCGGUAGGGUUUCUACUGCUUUCUAGUUUCUGCUUCUCGAGUAGCCGCUCCCCACCCCCCCUUUCGAGAUUUCUCCCCAAGACGUCCCUCCUCUCCCUCUCUUUCUCUCUGUUUGCAAAGUUUAUUUUAUAGACGACAGAACUGACACUCGUCCUCUGCUGAUCGAAGAUCUGUUACUCGCGGCCAUCAUCUUCUACUCGUUUGCUCCGUCGUCGACUUCUACAACCCAAGAUUUGCAGAGGGUCCCAAAUCAGUGGAUGCCGGUGGCUAUCGGUGAGAUCUAACAAUUUUUUUUUUCAUCUGUGGGUAUUUUUUUUUCUCUAUUUUUUUGUUCUGUCUUUGGUGAUUUUGAGUUUUUUUUUUAAGAGGAUGUUAGAAUGUUUGAGAAGUAAAAUUGUAUACAAAUUUUUUAACGAACUCGACUUUUUCUCCUAUUAUCUGCAUCAUGGUACGCAUGUAAAUAAUAUAGAAUAUAGACUCAAAUGGGUGAACUGGGUCUCUUUGUGCUUGGAUAGAUCUGGUAGAUCUAGUGAUUUGUCAAAUGGGAUUUUUCAGCCUUUAAAUGGAUGAUGAUGGUUGCUUUGAGGCAGUUUGCAAAAGUUUGCUCAUUUUAUUUGUCUGACUUCGCCCUCAACGGCUAUGAUGAAGCGUGUGUUGGCUAUAGGAGACAGAAUCAUAAGCUUUGCUAGCUGAGAUGCUAAGAAUAAUGAGUUUUAACUUUGCGUCUACAAUCAGUUGUGGGUCUUUGAUCUCAUCUCUCUCAGCACCCUUUCUCUGGCAUACCCACAAAGAGAUAGAAAAUGGGGUACUGCUAAGUAGUUUAGAUCCCCAGAGAUCAGACCUUAUUAUUCUCGAUGUUGACUAACAAAUGAACAUCAAAAUGAAUGUGUUUUAAAAGAAAAUACACAUUGGACUGACUUUUAAUUAUCUUGACAUUUUUCAUUUUGUAAAUGAUCUCUCUUUGCAUUUUUCAUUUUGUGGUUUUUCAUUCUGUGGUAGUAAAUACUAAGAUCAUGAACUGCAGGUUCCAAUUCUCCUUUUUGUUUCAUAAAAUUGUCUUUUCUAGUCGCUUUUUUAUUACAAGAUCAAUUGUGCGGUGCCCAUGCCUUCCCAUUUUUCAUGGUUGUGAUGACUCGAGACCCUAUUUUGGGCUUUAGAUCUUGAAGGUGUUGAAGGUGUUGAAAUGUAGGCUUCCUGCGUAAUACUUAUUGGUGCUUUGCCUGUUGUGUCUCAAAGUCUGUCCAUGUCCAGUAAGUAUUGCUUGUUGAUUAAAAUUUUAUUUGAUCAAUGCAGUUUUAGUUUUUAACUUGACAAGGUAGUUUUUAUUGACGAUAUUUUUUCCUUCAAGAAGGGAUUCUUAUAUUUAUUUGCUUAAAGGCAUGAUUUUUGGAUAUUUUACUGUAAGGUGCAUGAAUUUUAUAUGAUGGGCAUGACUAUUUGACUUGAUAUACAUUUCAAAUCUAAAUGUUCUUCUCCAGGGUUUCUCAGUUGGACUAGCUAAUGCAAUGCAACCAGCAUGCAGCAAUGCAACAUCUGCUGAUUCUAUGAUUAGUUCUAAAGCUGAACCAAUACUUCGUUUAACGACAAUGCAAGCGCAUUCAAGCCUUCUGUUUUCUGGUCUUACUGGAGAGAGUAGUGCUAGAGAUGAUCAAGAUUUUUUUUUCUUUUUAGGUUAAUGUUGUUUCUAGUGAUAGCUUAUAUGUAUGUGUUAAUUAUAUAAUUAGUUUAUAUUUUUAUCAUCAUGGACAACGAUAUAAAAAUUAUAAGCUUUUAUAUAACAAAACAAUUUUGCAUUUCAA